CGAUGGAUAGGGGUUCUGAGAGGAAGGUCCCCCACAUUGGAACUGAGACACGGUCCAAACUCCUACGGGAGGCAGCAGUGAGGAAUAUUGGUCAAUGGACGAGAGUCUGAACCAGCCAAGUAGCGUGAAGGAUGACUGCCCUAUGGGUUGUAAACUUCUUUUAUAAAGGAAUAAAGUCGGGUAUGCAUACCCGUUUGCAUGUACUUUAUGAAUAAGGAUCGGCUAACUCCGUGCCAGCAGCCGCGGUAAUACGGAGGAUCCGAGCGUUAUCCGGAUUUAUUGGGUUUAAAGGGAGCGUAGGCGGAUGCUUAAGUCAGUUGUGAAAGUUUGCGGCUCAACCGUAAAAUUGCAGUUGAUACUGGGCGUCUUGAGUACAGUAGAGGCAGGCGGAAUUCGUGGUGUAGCGGUGAAAUGCUUAGAUAUCACGAAGAACUCCGAUUGCGAAGGCAGCCUGCUGGACUGUAACUGACGCUGAUGCUCGAAAGUGUGGGUAUCAAACAGGAUUAGAUACCCUGGUAGUCCACACAGUAAACGAUGAAUACUCGCUGUUUGCGAUAUACGGCAAGCGGCCAAGCGAAAGCGUUAAGUAUUCCACCUGGGGAGUACGCCGGCAACGGUGAAACUCAAAGGAAUUGACGGGGGCCCGCACAAGCGGAGGAACAUGUGGUUUAAUUCGAUGAUACGCGAGGAACCUUACCCGGGCUUAAAUUGCACUCGAAUGAUCCGGAAACGGUUCAGCUAGCAAUAGCGAGUGUGAAGGUGCUGCAUGGUUGUCGUCAGCUCGUGCCGUGAGGUGUCGGCUUAAGUGCCAUAACGAGCGCAACCCUUAUC
rnacentral:rRNA from 1 species